UAGCUCAGUUGGAAGAGCAUUGGGCUAGUAUUCCAAUGGUCGUAGGUUCGAAUCCCAC
rnacentral:tRNA from 1 species